UACGUAGGGGGCGAGCGUUGUCCGGAAUUAUUGGGCGUAAAGAGCGUGUAGGCGGUCCGGUAAGUCUGCCGUGAAAACCCGGGGCUCAACCCCGGGCGUGCGGUGGAAACUGCCGGGCUAGAGGAUGGUAGAGGCGAGUGGAAUUCCCGGUGUAGCGGUGAAAUGCGCAGAUAUCGGGAGGAACACCAGUAGCGAAGGCGGCUCGCUGGGCCAUUCCUGACGCUGAGACGCGAAAGCUAGGGGAGCGAACAGG
rnacentral:rRNA from 1 species